UUCACAGCUUUGCCUUCUGGCUUAGAUCAAGUGUAGUAUCUGUUCUUUUCAGUUUAAUCUCUGAAAUCGAUUCAUAGAAUCGAAACAUUGAUUAUACUUAUUUUUGUACCCUCGUCGACGAGCCUCUGUGCUUGCGCAUGCUUGUCGGCACAGUGUCCUUGGCCUUACACUACCGCCUUGUGACGCGACCCUCC
rnacentral:snRNA from 1 species